AGUGAACGCUGGCGGUAGGCCUAACACAUGCAAGUCGAACGGCAGCACAGUAAGAGCUUGCUCUUACGGGUGGCGAGUGGCGGACGGGUGAGGAAUACAUCGGAAUCUACUUUUUCGUGGGGGAUAACGUAGGGAAACUUACGCUAAUACCGCAUACGACCUACGGGUGAAAGCAGGAGAUCUUCGGACCUUGCGCGAUUGAAUGAGCCGAUGUCGGAUUAGCUAGUUGGCGGGGUAAAGGCCCACCAAGGCGACGAUCCGUAGCUGGUCUGAGAGGAUGAUCAGCCACACUGGAACUGAGACACGGUCCAGACUCCUACGGGAGGCAGCAGUGGGGAAUAUUGGACAAUGGGCGCAAGCCUGAUCCAGCCAUACCGCGUGGGUGAAGAAGGCCUUCGGGUUGUAAAGCCCUUUUGUUGGGAAAGAAAAGCAGCAGGUUAAUACCCCGCUGUUCUGACGGUACCCAAAGAAUAAGCACCGGCUAACUUCGCG
rnacentral:rRNA from 1 species